AGCGAACGCUGGCGGCGUGCCUAACACAUGCAAGUCGAACGUGAAAGGGAGCAAUCCCAAGUAAAGUGGCGUACGGGUGAGUAACACGUAGGUAAUCUACCCCAGAAUCUGGAAUAACCGGCCGAAAGGCUGGCUAAUACUGGAUAGAGCGACGGAAUCCGUAAUUGGGUUUUUCGGGAAAGGGAGCCUGUAAAAAGGCCUUCGUUCUGGGAUGAGCCUGCGUCCCAUCAGCUAGUUGGUGAGGUAAAAGCUUACCAAGGCAAUGACGGGUAGCUGGUCUGAGGGGACGAUCAGCCACACUGGAACUGAAACAAGGUCCAGACUCCUUCGGGAGGCAGCAGUGGGGAAUCUUGCGAGAUGGACGGAAGUCUGACGCAGCAACGCCGCGUUAGGGAAGAAGGCCUUCGGGUUGUAAAGCUCUGUCUGGUGGGACGAAAAUGCUUGGAGUUCACAGCUCCAGGAACUGACGGUACCACUAAAGGAAGCACCGGCUAACUCCGUG
rnacentral:rRNA from 1 species